rnacentral:rRNA from 1 species
UACAGAGGUCCCAAGCGUUGUUCGGAUUCACUGAGCGUAAAGGGUGCGUAGGUGGUCGGGUAAGUCUGAUGUGAAAUCUCCAAGCUCAACUUGGAAACUGCAUCGGAUACUAUUCGGCUGGAGAAUUGGAGGGGGGGACUGGAAUGCUUGGUGUAGCAAUGAAAUGCGUAGAUAUCAAGCGGAACACCAGUGGCGAAAAGCGAGUCCCUGGACAACUCCUGACACUGAGGCACGAAAGCUAGAGGAGCAAACAGG